rnacentral:rRNA from 1 species
UUCGGUUACAUCGGUGGACAGGUGGUGGCGAUGGUUGUCGUCAGCUCGUGUCGUGAGAUGUUGGGUUAAGUCCCGCAACGAGCGCAACCCCUAUUGUUAGUUGCCAUCAUUCAGUUGGGCACUCUAGCGAGACUGCCGGUAAUAAACCGGAGGAAGGUGGGGAUGACGUCAAAUCAUCAUGCCCCUUAUGACCUGGGCUACACACGUGCUACAAUGGUUGGUACAACGAGUUGCGAGUCGGUGACGGCGAGCUAAUCUCUUAAAGCCAAUCUCAGUUCGGAUUGUAGGCUGCAACUCGCCUACAUGAAGUCGGAAUCGCUAGUAAUCGCGGAUCAGCACGCCGCGGUGAAUACGUUCCCGGGCCUU